rnacentral:rRNA from 1 species
GACAGAGGUGCCGAGCGUUAGGCGGAAUCACUGGGCUUAAAGCGCGCGUAGGCGGGCCGUUAAGUGCCUUGUGAAAUCCCACAGCUCACCUGUGGAACUGCUUGGCAUACUGGCGAUCUUGAGCCACUUAGGGGCAACCGGAACAAACGGUGGAGCGGUGAAAUGCGUAGAUAUCGGGAGGAAUACCUAUGGCGAAAGCAGGCUACUGGACCGUCACUGACUCUGAUCUGCGAAAGCUAGGGGAGCAAACAGG